AUCGAAGUGUGAUGUUUUGUAUUUGAAUUUUUGGCGGUGGGACACAAGUCUUUGCCGAUUUUUUGUAUCAUUUUAUGUAUAUAUCAAGUCUCGUUUAUUCGCUGAACUAAAUGGAUCGUAUUCUCGUAAUAAAGCGCAAUAUUCGGUGAGUAUUUUUAUAUUUUGUAGCGACUUAUUUACACUUCAAUUGAUUGUGAUUUGUGAUAGAUUUGAUCGCAUAUAUAAACAUCAUAGACACAUAUAAAAAUCUAUUUAAAUAUCGACCUAUAAUCCGUAUUACAGAUGAUAUUUCUUAUAAUAGUUUUCUAAAUGACAGUCUAUUUGUUAUUAUAUUUUAGAGUGAAGAAUUUUGCUUAUUUUAAGUAUGGUAUUCGGACUACUUUCCUAUGAAGAACUCCAGGCAAG